CACUACCAUAGCGCACUUGACAACAUUUUAUAUUAAACCUAUGUUUGGUAUCACGGUGGAUAUGAUAGAAUCACUGUGACUCACUGUGAUUUUUCAAAAGCUAGAAAGUGUAACUUCUGUGAAAUCACGGUGGAUCACCGUGAUUCUGGCAUAUCCAUCGUGAUACCAAACAUAGGCUAAAUAGCAUAUCAUGGAACAACAGCAAUUUGUUCAAAUUCCCUACGGUAUAGCACUGCAGAUAUUCAACAUGUGAAAAGCACAAUAUCACCAGCUAAAUAAGUUUAACUCCAUCAACAAAUUUAAGCUAAAGAAGCCAACUUUAGGAAAUCUAAAUAUUUUUGGCAUAACCCUCCGGUUUCUCGGAAAAAGGGUCUUGGUAAUCCAGAUUUCGAUUUCAAUUGUCAGGUAAGUAAAGUCUAACCAAGGAUAAUUCUUGCCAGGAUUCGAACACUGGUACUCUAGAUCAAUAACUUUAGAUAACUUAAGCAUAAAAAACACUAACAAAACAGCAUGCAACAACAGUAAUCCUAAAAUCCAUUUGAAAAAAACUCAACUCAAAACUCCAUCACCACCCAUUUCAAAUCGUCACUCUAAACUAAAUAAAACAUUAACAAAUAUAAUCUGAAAAAAGAAAAAAAGCUAAAAAUAACAAAAAUUAAUAUCCAAACAGGAAUUGAAGUAAAAC
rnacentral:lncRNA from 1 species